UGGUCGUCUGUCCUGGAAAUCAAGAACGUUUCGCUGAAGGACUACACCACUUACACCUGUGUCGCCGCCAAUUCCAGAGGAUCCUACGCUGUGAAUUACACUCUUGGCUCACCCCUGCCCCCGAAUCCACCUCAGUAUCUCAAUGUCACGACAGUCACAGGUAGUACGGCCUACCUCUCGUUGGGUGCCCCCGGGUGGGGGGACACCCCCUGCGGGCUACACCCUUCUCUAUCGGCCGAAGAACGGAGGAAAGUACACGAGAGAGGAUGUCACUGGAGCCGAUGUUACCGCGGCGGAGAUCCAAGGACUGACGCCUGGCACAGUUUACGAGUUCCUAAUCCAAUCACACAACGCUCAGGGAAGGUCUAACUACACCUCUUCAAGUGCUCAGAUUCCAG